UACGAAGGGGGCUAGCGUUGCUCGGAAUCACUGGGCGUAAAGGGUGCGUAGGCGGGUCUUUAAGUCAGGGGUGAAAUCCUAGAGCUCAACUCCAGAACUGCCUUUGAUACUGAAGAUCUUGAGUUCGGGAGAGGUGAGUGGAACUGCGAGUGUAGAGGUGAAAUUCGUAGAUAUUCGCAAGAACACCAGUGGCGAAGGCGACUCACUGGACACAUAUUGACGCUGAGGUGCGAAAGCGUGGGGAGCAAACAGG
rnacentral:rRNA from 1 species